rnacentral:rRNA from 1 species
ACUCCUACGGGAGGCAGCAGUGGGGAAUAUUGGACAAUGGGCGCAAGCCUGAUCCAGCCAUGCCGCGUGAGUGAUGAAGGCCUUAGGGUUGUAAAGCUCUUUUAUCCGGGACGAUAAUGACGGUACCGGAGGAAUAAGCCCCGGCUAACUUCGUGCCAGCAGCCGCGGUAAUACGAAGGGGGCUAGCGUUGCUYGGAAUCACUGGGCGUAAAGGGCGCGUAGGCGGCGUUUUAAGUCGGGGGUGAAAGCCUGUGGCUCAACCACAGAAUGGCCUUCGAUMCUGGGACGCUUGAGUAUGGUAGAGGUUGGUGGAACYGCGAGUGUAGAGGUGAAAUUCGUAGAUAUUCGCAAGAACACCGGUGGCGAAGGCGSCCAACUGGACCAUUACUGACGCUGAGGCGMGAAAGCGUGGGGAGCAAACAGGAUUAGAUACCCUGGUAGUCCACGCCGUAAMCGAUGAAUSCCAGCUGUUGGGGUGCUUGCACCGCAGUAGCGCAGCUAACGCUUUGAGCAUUCCGCUUGGGGAGUACGGUYSCAAGAUUAAAACUCAAAGGAAUUGACGG